AACAGGAGAAGCCCCUGCUUGCCACAACUAGAGAAAGCCUGUGCGCAGCAACAAAGACCCAACGUGGCCAAAAACAACAACAACAAAAAGCUUGUCCUUGAACUCUUGGCUACGCUCCCCAGCGGGGGCUACACCCCUGGCCUUUGUGUCCACCUCCAUCGACAGAUGGGCCUGCAGGCUCACUUCUGAGCCUGCCUUAGCAAAGGCCACGGGCUCCCCUGGACCCCCCGGCACUCAGUGCAAGACACUUGCCAUCUCAGUGGGGGCGGAGAGAGGGGGAGAGAGAGAGGAUGCACAGAAGCCCCAGGGCUCUAGCUGGCGGUUUGUGUCUUCCCAACUCAGGGGCCAGCUUGUGGGUGAAGAAGCUUCGGAUGGUCUGGGGGCGGCUGCAGGGAGGCCUUGAGGAGCGCUGCCCGGCUGAGCCAGGACAGCCGCAGCCAUGGGAGGUAGUCAGGAUGGCUGAGAGGUGCUUAGUCCUGCCACAUUUGGGAUGUUUUUGCUGGUAUCUAGAUGCCGUGUGAGUCUGCUAGGGCCGCCGUAACAAGCACCCGGACAUUUAUGGUCCUGUGUCCUGGAGGCGGGAAGUCCGAGAUGGAGGUGUCGCAGGGCUGGUCCCCCCGAGGCCUCUCUCCUGGGCGUGUAGAUGGCCGUGUCCUCCCAUGUCCUCACGUGGCCGUCCCUGUGCGUGUCUGUGCCCUGAUCUCCUCCUCCUAUAAGGACACCAGUCACGCUGGAUCGGGGCUCACCCUAUGGACUCAUUUCACCUUAAUCACCUUUAAGACCCCAUCUCCAAGUACAGUCACAUCUUGAGGACCGCAACACCCAGAUUUUGGAGGAACACAGUUCAGCCCAGAGCAGACGCCCAGAUGGAGGGAGAGGGGGUCGUAGCCAGAGGACGAGCCUCUGGCCCCCUUGGCCCCAUUGGUCUCUGUGCAGGAGGAACAAUUUCAGGCGCCUUCAAGAAACCCAGCUUAAGAGGGAAAAUUAGAGGCUUGUCGUCCGGUCGCUGUGCUCUGGGAGCUGAUCUAAGGAUGUACAGACCCAACUCAGUGAAUUCCGGCUGCCCUACUUGGAGGCGAUGUAGCUAUUCCCAAUUUAAAAAGAACCAAAGCUGAAAACCUAUGUCCACAGACAAACUUGUGCAUGAGUGUCCGUUGCAGCAUUACUCAUAAUGGCCCCAAAUGGAAGCUGCCCAAAGAGCCACUGACCCGUGAAGAAGGGACACACAGAUGUGGUGUCCACACAAUGGAGUAUUGUUCGGCCCUGAA